rnacentral:rRNA from 1 species
AUUGAACGCUGGCGGCAGGCUUAACACAUGCAAGUCGAGCGGAGAUGAGGUGCUUGCACCUUAUCUUAGCGGCGGACGGGUGAGUAAUGCUUAGGGAUCUGCCUAUUAGUGGGGGACAACAUUCCGAAAGGAAUGCUAAUACCGCAUACGUCCUACGGGAGAAAGCAGGGGAUCUUCGGACCUUGCGCUAAUAGAUGAGCCUAAGUCGGAUUAGCUAGUUGGUGGGGUAAAGGCCUACCAAGGAGACGAUCUGUAGCGGGUCUGAGAGGAUGCUCCGCCACACUGGGACUGAGACACGGCCCAGACUCCUCCGGGAGGCAGUAGUGGGGAAUAUUGGACACUGGGGGGAACCCUGAUCCAGCCAUGCCGCGUGUGUGAAGAAGGCCUUAUGGUUGUAAAGCACUUUAAGCGAGGAGGAGGCUACUGAGACUAAUACUCUUGGAUAGUGGACGUUACUCGCAGAAUAAGCACCGGCUAACUCUGUGCCAGCAGCCGCCGUAAGAC